CCCUGACACUCCCUCCCCCACACGCGAGCACAAGAGUCCUGGCAGCUUGGGACCGCAGCUCAGGCGUACCGUACCAGCUCUGCCAUUCAGCCUGCAGCUGGCUCGACUGAACGUUUCUCCUUAUUGGGAAGGCAAACAGAAAGGCUGCUGAGGAAGGGGGAAGGGAGAAGGGAGCCGCUGCCCACCCUCCUCCCGUGAGAGGCGAGACGACCCGCGGGAAGCUCUCACUGCUGCGGCACCGUUCGCGGCAACCAAGAAGCACAUGGGGAAGGAUGAUCCAGUUGACUGAACACCUAGAGUUUCAAAAUGGAUGUGGCAAGAUCUCCUACCAGGAGUUCUUCAAGACUUUAAGCACUUUUGAAGCACUCUAGAAACCGAUAGUUCAAGACAUGUAAUUGGGUCAGCAAUCAAACUGGGAUCCUGUGCAUGGCAGCAGUAACUGUGUAUUUCUCAAACUGAAUAUGAGCUUUCAUUUCUUCAACUAUAAAGUACUUUCAUACAAGCAUUUGAUAGCCAACCUUUUACUAUUAAAAAAGUUAGAAAAACCUACAUCUAUUCUCACA